CGUCCCCAACCUAACGCAGCUCCUACCGCCGGAGGCAGCCGUCGCGGGCGAGCGAGCGACGGCGGCAGCCGGAGCGAGGGAGCCUGCAGCGCCGUGACGGGUUAGCUUGUCCGACCCACGCGCUGCCGCUGGCUGGCCGUCCGCACGCCUCCCCGCCGACGGGCUCGCCGGCCCCUCCCCACGCGCCUUCCCUUUGACAGGCACCGCACCCGGAUCCUCCCCGCACGCCUCCCUUCCGACGGGCUCACCGGCCCCUCCCCGCGCGCCUCCCCUCCGACGGGCUCACCGGCCCCUCCCCGCGCGCCUCCCCUCCGACGGGCUCGCCGGCCCCUCCCCGCGCGCUGGCGCCUCCCCGCCGACGGGUGCUGGCCCCUUCCCGUUCGCCUCCCCGCUGGCGUUACUCGUCCCCUCCCCACGCGCCUGUCCGCGGGCGUUCGCCGGCCCCUACCCGCGAGUCUCCUUGCCGCCGGUCCCUCCCCAUGAAGCUCCCCGCCGCCAUCGACGCCAGCUGCUGCCCGCAAACAGGAUGGAUUCAAUGCCCGCUGCCGGAUCCACAGCCCCCCACCACCAUCUCCCGAUUCACUGCCUGUCGCGCAUGGCGUCGCCCUUCCUUCCUUCCUCUUAAUCUUCUCUCCCAGCCAGCAGUGGCAUCCCAUGUGCUGCAGCUUCCAGCGUCGUCCUCUGCCUUGUCGGCGCACAAGUCGUUCGCCUCAGCCAACCCAGUCCGUUCACAAUUUCCAGCAGAGUCUGUUCAACACUAGCGUGCAGCUACCCGCCUCCUAGAUUCAGGGACGCAUUCAUGGCUUCAUUCAACAAUUGGACUGUGGGAAGAUGUUGAUCAACAAGUGAGCUAAGGGACUGGGACGCCCUCCUCGCCGCGGCGUCAUUGCUGGCCGUCAAUGGCGGAAGCGGGGUGGCGGCCGGGACCUUGUCGUGCUCAUCUCCGACUACUGUCAAGUAAAAAUUCAGGUUGGGAAGCUUAUUUUUUCCAAAGUGAUUGUUUGGGUACUGCAAGCUCCCACAGAGUGGAAGCGGUUGUUACAACAGGUUUGAAGUAGAUAUUACACAAGGUUUGAUUUUUCUAGACCAUGUACAAGAACAGUAGCGUACUUAUGCAGUGGUCUGCCUUUUCUUAACUUUAUUAGAUUUUUUUCGUGAAAUAUAUAAAAGCCAGUAGCAGUACUAUUACUUAUUUUACAAUAGGUCAUUGACUUAAACUAUAUCAGUUUAGCACAUGUACUUACAAAAAACAAAUCAACAGGUUUGUAGGUUUUUUUCAGCUCAUCUUGUUGGCUUUUUUGGUUCAUAUUGCAGGCUUUUAGGAUUAGAUUCUCAUGUCUGUUUCAGUAUUAAGGAGAAGUAAAACCAUUCAUUUCUUGUAUAUUUAUUAUUACUGUAGUACUAGCUACUCCGUUCUAGUAGUAUACGGAGUAUGUGAUCAGCUCAUGCAGUAUAUACUAUGCACAAAAUGUCUGUAGAGUGCUUUACAUACAAAGAACUUGCUUAAUCUAGACCAUGCAAGCUUCCUCAAAGGAACUCAUGUCGAACGAGUGCUUUACAUACAAAUUAGCGCAAAGAAGGCCAUUAGCUUAAUUUGGAUGUCGCGUGGCCGGCACCAUUAUCGUAAAUUUUUGUUUCUGCACUAAGUUUCUUAAUGUAUUUUGUUCAUAAAAUUUUAGUGAAAAAUUUACUUCAUGUUACUCGUGAUCUCGCAACUGUAUGUUCACCUAUGAAGGUAUCUCUCAUUGCUUAUUGUUACAUUAAUUUCCAUGGUAAGAAAGGUUUACAUUAAAAGUAACAUCCAUAUAGGAAAAAUGCUUCUAUUCUAACAGAUUUUUUUUGGAAAAAAGAGCACUAGUACUGAUGAGUCGUAUUGACAAGGAUGCCGUCUACAAUUCUGAUGAGUCCUACUGAGAAGGACAUAAUUAUUGUGCAACUGGAAAAAACAAAUGUUUAAUAAAGAAAUGUGCUUGAAGUUCAAUUACUAUGGUCUAAAAAAUUCAAUUACAUCGCUAGUGCAUUCAGAAUUGCUAAUUUUAAAAAAAUGAAGUUCCUGUUUCAAGAUUAUGUAAGUUCAAAAUUAUUGUAUGAUAUGUGUGCCAUAGUUAUCUGGACUUGAAUUCUGACUAAUAUUCCAUUAUAGUACUACUGCAUAUUCACUUCUGAUUGCUUCUUGCUGCCACUAUUUUUAUCAUGAUUUUGUGUGUCCACCCAGGAGUGUUUUUGUUUCUGUAGGUCAGCUGCUCAACAACAGAAGCAUGUACAUGUAUUACUACUGCGAAGGUUCAAAAAUCAGAACUCAACAAGUUCAAUGUCGAUGGUACUGUGCACAUGCGUUAAGCCGUUUUACAACAUAGCGCUAAGCCGUUCUACGCAGCUCAGGGAGGUGAAGGAGCUCCCCUUGGGUUCAUCUUGCAGGUUUUGUUCAAAUCUUGGCCACCUAGGCCGUUCAACAACACCACUAGAGCACGUUCAGUUGGUGGCGUUCCAACUAGCCACUCAAAGUUGUGGCCAUUUAAUGACACUUUCUACAUUUGAGACAUGUGAAACUGUAGCCUUCCAGUGUUACCGUUUGGUAGCUCAGGAUGCUUUAUGUUUUGGAGAUCUACAGAGUGACUAUCUGAGAGCUGUGUUGGACUUUCUCAUUACAGCAUGGAACUUCUCUAAAAAUCCCAGUUGAUUUUUCAUGUUUGUUCCUCAUCAGUUCUAAAAAUCUCAGAGCAUCCGUCCAACUAUGUAUCAGGAUAUACUAUGUUGUAAAUUUAUGUAUGCUUGUAUGUGC
rnacentral:rRNA from 1 species